rnacentral:rRNA from 1 species
UACAGAGGUCCCGAGCGUUGUUCGGAUUCACUGGGCGUAAAGGGUGCGUAGGUGGCGUGGUAAGUUUGAUGUGAAAGCUCAGGGCUUAACCCUGAAAUGGCAUUGAAUACUACUGUGCUGGAGGUUUGGAGGGGGGACUGGAAUUCUUGGUGUAGCAGUGAAAUGCGUAGAUAUCAAGAGGAACACCAAUGGCGAAGGCAGCUCGCUGGGACGGUACUGACGCUGAGGAGCGAAAGCGUGGGGAGCAAACAGG